CCUGAAGUUUAGAUUCUUCUUAGCAGCGGUAUCUGGUGCGUCCUACUUAGUCACAACAGGAAAAAAAUCAUGGAGCCAUAUUAUAUAUUCAGCAUUUGGCUAUUUAAUCUCCUAGGUGCUGCGCUGGGGGACUCGGUCCAGUCUAGGGAACCCCACCUCUCUGGGAGAGAAGGAGACACUGUGACCCUCACUUGUUCCUAUGAUACCAGCUCUACCGGCUACGUCUAUCUCUACUGGUACCGCCAGUUUCCCAACCAAGCCCCGCAGUACAUUCUCCGGAGAGGAGUGAAGCAGGCCAGAGGUCAGAGCCAUAGCGCAGAUUUCGCCAAGGGGAAGUUUUCUUCCCAGGCUGAUGACAGCUCCACAGUUCUGAGCAUCAAAGCCCUGGAGCUGGCAGACUCCGCGGUGUAUCUCUGCGCCCUGCGUCUGGCACAGUGACAGAGCCACAUA